rnacentral:rRNA from 1 species
GACGAACCGUGCGAACGUUGUUCGGAAUCACUGGGCUUAAAGGGCGCGUAGGCGGGCUGCCAAGUCUGGGGUGAAAUCCCACGGCUCAACCGUGGAACUGCCUCGGAUACUGGCGGUCUCGAGGGAGGUAGGGGCAUGCGGAACUGUGGGUGGAGCGGUGAAAUGCGUUGAUAUCCACAGGAACUCCGGAGGCGAAAGCGGCGUGCUGGACCUCUUCUGACGCUGAGGCGCGAAAGCUAGGGGAGCAAACGGG